rnacentral:rRNA from 1 species
UACGGAGGGGGCUAGCGUUGUUCGGAAUUACUGGGCGUAAAGCGCACGUAGGCGGCUUUGCAUGUUAGAGGUGAAAGCCCGGGGCUCAACUCCGGAAUUGCCUUUAAAACUGCAUCGCUAGAAUUGUGGAGAGGUAAGUGGAAUUCCGAGUGUAGAGGUGAAAUUCGUAGAUAUUCGGAAGAACACCAGUGGCGAAGGCGACUUACUGGACACAUAUUGACGCUGAGGUGCGAAAGCGUGGGGAGCAAACAGG